rnacentral:rRNA from 1 species
UGGGGAAUAUUGGACAAUGGGCGCAAGCCUGAUCCAGCCAUGCCGCGUGAGUGAUGAAGGCCUUCGGGUUGUAAAGCUCUUUUGGCGGGGACGAUGAUGACGGUACCCGCAGAAUAAGCCCCGGCUAACUUCGUGCCAGCAGCCGCGGUAAGACGAAGGGGGCAAGCGUUGUUCGGAAUUACUGGGCGUAAAGGGCGCGUAUGCGGUCCGAUCAGUCAGGCGGGAAAGCCCUGGGCUUAACCUGGGAGGUGCGCUUGAUACUGUUGGGCUUGAGUGUGGGAGAGGAUGGUGGAAUUCCCAGUGUAGAGGUGAAAUUCGUAGAUAUUGGGAAGAACACCGGUGGCGAAGGCGGCCAUCUGGACCACAACUGACGCUGAGGCGCGAAAGCGUGG